GAGGACGAUCACAAUUCACAAGACUGAAAGUUACGCGAAUGGCUCGUGAUGCGCGUGUUUUAUUGAAGAUAUCGAUGGCGAUACCUAACAAGUUCAAGAAGUUGAAGGCGGGUGACCCACUGUUCAUUUUGUCCAGUCCUUCCGAUACUCAAAGCGACUCGGAGCAUUGUUUCUUGGCCACAGCCUCUCGUUUUCCCUCCACCUCCAUUGCUAUCACACCAGGGUGAGGAGACUUAUAGAUUUCCGGUCAGCUGUCGGUGAACGAGCAGUUCCUUUAGUUCACGCUUGGCGGGGAAGCUAUUGGAGAAUUGAUAAUACAAAGAAUAUCUCGCAAGGUCCAAUCGAGGCGUCUUCUCGCGCGUCAUCAUCGUUUUUGCUGCGUUGUUCUACAUCCUUCACCUCCGGCUCGGGAUUGAGUUUCGCUUCUAGUAAUUAUCCCCUGUUAUUUUGGUUCUCAGCUCUUACCUCCCAAGCUUCACUUACUUCACCGUAUUUAUUAAUUGCGUAGAUUGCCCAUUUCUAUAAUCUGGACUUGACUGGUUUUUACUCUCGGCCUCCCUUUUCCCCUCUUUUUAAUUUGGAUUUUGUGCAUUCUUUUAAUUCGAAGAGCUUUGCUUUUGCCCUUUUCCGAUUCUUUAUGCGCCAUUUUUCUGACAGCAGUUCCCUGUCGGGACUUGAAGUCUAAUUGACGUGUCCUUUCAUUUUUGUCCAUUGGUCGGUCGUGGUAUUUGGGUAGCUCAUGCGUAGUUUUGGACUAUUUACUUUGCCGCUAUCAACUGCUGAAUGUUGAUUCAGAAAAUUUCUAUUGCUUUUCGAGAAUCUCUGAUUCAGCCAAAAUUAAGACCCUUCGUGCUGUCCCGAAAGGAGAAAGAAAAAAGCCACCCUUUACGUGACAAUGAUCUCUCUCUGACACAUCUACAGCUCUCCGUCUAGGCGUCUACUGUCAGUAUCCGGGAUCCACCAUGGAUGUCAUAGCAAUUUCAUCUGUACGAUUGCUAUUUGCUAAGAGCCGAAAACUUGUCUUGGAGGAUCGUUACCGAGGACCAUGGUUUUAUUACAUUUACCUUAUUGUAAAAUAAUCAGUUUGCAUCAAUAUUACCUUUUUUACCGACCUUACUGAAUCCCCGUCGAAUUAUUUGAUUGAAAGAAUAUGAUUCAAAGCAUAUGGAUAUUAAAUUUAAAGAAAUGCUGGUAAAAUCCUGAUUUAUAUAUAUAUAUAUAUAUAUAUAUAUUUGGGUGACUGAUUGAGUUAUUUGAAGAAUGAACAGCUUACAAUCAUACAUAUGAAACCUUUUAAGUUUUACUAUUGUAACUAGUUGUCAGUUUUGGCCUCAUGGGGACAGCGACUGUGGCAGAGACUUCAAGAUGCAAACUGGAUGCUAGUCUUUAUUUUUUAAUAUCCAUGUGGCAUCUGAUGUUCCUGGAGAUAAGAAAUAUGAUUUCCAUUAUGACACGCAUCAAGAAAAAUGAGAAAGGAGGCGGUUAAUGAGAACUCAAGUGUAAUUCUGGACUUAUUUUAGAUUCAUUUAGAAGAAUAAGGAGUGGGUUUUGCUCAGUUCAAAAACAUUGUAAUUCAUGUCGGUAAUACAAACAAUUGGGCAAGAGUUUGCUGGUAUAUCACGUGAUACUGAUCUAGAACUUUAGAUAUGGUGCAAUGGCGCAACGCAAUUUUCUU